rnacentral:rRNA from 1 species
CUGCAGAAUUCGCCCUUAGAGUUUGAUCAUGGCUCAGAUUGAACGCUGGCGGCAGGCUUAACACAUGCAAGUCGAGCGGGGAAAGGUAGCUUGCUACCUAACCUAGCGGCGGACGGGUGAGUAAUGCUUAGGAAUCUGCCUAUUAGUGGGGGACAACAUCUCGAAAGGGAUGCUAAUACCGCAUACGUCCUACGGGAGAAAGCAGGGGAUCUUUGGACCUUGCGCUAAUAGAUGAGCCUAAGUCGGAUUAGCUAGUUGGUGGGGUAAAGGCCUACCAAGGCGACGAUCUGUAGCGGGUCUGAGAGGAUGAUCCGCCACACUGGGACUGAGACACGGCCCAUACUCCNACAGGACGCAACAA